rnacentral:rRNA from 1 species
CUACGGGUGGCUCCAGUGAGGAAUAUUGCACAAUGGGGGAAACCCUGAUGCAGCAACGCCGCGUGGAGGAUGACGCAUUUCGGUGUGUAAACUCCUUUUAUCAGAGAAGAAAAUGACGGUAUCUGAUGAAUAAGCUCCGGCUAACUCCGUGCCAGCAGCCGCGGUAAUACGGAGGGAGCAAGCGUUAUUCGGAAUCACUGGGCGUAAAGGACGCGUAGGCGGGUUUUUAAGUCAGGUGUGAAAUCCUAUGGCUCAACCAUAGAACUGCACUUGAAACUGGGGACCUAGAGUAUGGAAGGGGCAGGUGGAAUUAGUGGUGUAGGGGUAAAAUCCGUAGAUAUCACUAGGAAUACCGAAAGCGAAGGCGACCUGCUGGGACAUUACUGACGCUGAGGCGUGAAAGCGUGGGGAGCAAACAGGAUUAGAUACCCCGGUAGUC